AUCGCUGCCAGCGUACGUAGUGUACGUAUUACGUCCCUGUUUCAUCGGGAAAUGGUCCAACAGUCAGCCUCGCGUGUGGAGACUUCAGAAGAUGCCAGACCUCACAAAGAUUUCAGAUGAUGGAAACUAUAGAUGAACAUGCAAAGCUGCUAAAUAAUCCUUAUAUUGUAAUCAUUGCCCUAAAAGGGAGGAACUUGUCAGCAAAUCUACUUCACAGCACAUCAGUGAAAGCAGUUGACAGUUACAGACGUGUGUGUUGGAUCAGGGUCAGAUCUGAAUUCUGCAGGUAGGUAGAUCUCCAGGAACAGGAUUGUACAGCCCUGUUAUAUUGGUAAUGUAUGAUGCAUUUUGUUUUUAUUGCAGGUUUCCUGUGAUGACCGUUGAAGAGAUCAGCACAUCAGAUGUUGGCCUGGACAGCUGUAGCUACAGUACACCACACUGACUUCUUUGCAUGGAUAGCUGACUACUACUAUUAUGUUCUGUGAAGGUAUUAUUAUAGGAAACCUGAGCACCUGUGACAGUGGAA